GUGGAAGGUGGGGGGAGAUCCCUACUCAUGUCUCUUCCACAAGAUCUCAAACAGCUGGCUGAUACACUAUCACACACAAGCACUGGCUGCUUAGGUUUGAGGAGCACAGAUCCUUCCAUAAGUGGUGUGAACCUGUGGCUCUGUAGCCAGGGGCUGUCAGGCUGGUUGUGUCAAUGUGGAGUUGCAAUUGCUGGGCACCAUGCUGAGACAUACAUCUUCGGGGGAAUGAAGUUAUUGUAUUUGCAUUUGCUAAUGUCUGCUGGCUCAUCCGGUGGGUCCAGCCUGUAUCAGGGUAAAAAUGAACCAGCGACAAAGGCACAAUUCACUUCAAACAUUGGAAAGAAGAACAAACGUGAUGUGUUUGCAAAGAGAAGAAGGAGAGGAAAUGAACCCCUACUCUUUCUGCUUGUUGUAUCAGGAGCAGCAUUGGUUCAAGGGCAAUUUUACCUGAGAUACCCAAAGUUCAGUGUAAAACCAUGAUGUGGUUAUGCAUCAAGCAGGGAGUCCCAAACCAAAACUGGGCCACCUUUUAGCAGGAUGAAUAAUGCUAUGCUCUCUUAGCUGAACUGCUCCUAUUGCUCCCAGGUGAAGUUGUUUAAGGCUUAACUCGAGAUUUCACAGCAGUGUAAACAUAUCACCAAAUACAGUUACUGCAAGAAUCAAUAUGAUUUAGUUCAU